rnacentral:tRNA from 1 species
ACUACCUUAGCUCAGUUGGUAGAGCGUCGGUCUACAAAUCCGGAGGUCGUGGGUUCUAAUCUCGCAAGCAGUC